rnacentral:rRNA from 1 species
AGUGAACGCUGGCGGUAGGCCUAACACAUGCAAGUCGAACGGCAGCACAGAGGAGCUUGCUCCUUGGGUGGCGAGUGGCGGACGGGUGAGGAAUACAUCGGAAUCUACUCUGUCGCGGGGGAUAACGUAGGGAAACUUACGCUAAAACCGCAUACGACCUACGGGUGAAAGCAGGGGAUCUUCGGACCUUGCGCGAUUGAAUGAGCCGAUGUCGGACUAGCUAGUUGGCGGGGUAAAGGCCCACCAAGGCGACGAUCCGUAGCUGGUCUGAGAGGAAGGACAGCCAGACUGGAACUGAGACACGGUCCAGACUCCUACGGGAGGCAGCAGUGGGGAAUAUUGGACGAUGGGCGCAAGCCUGAUCCAGCCAUACCGCGUGGGUGAAGAAGGCCUUCGGGUUGUAGAGCCCUUUUGUUGGGAAAGAAAUCCGUCUGGUUAAGACCCGGGUGGGAUGACGGUACCCAAAGAACAAGCACCGGCUAACUUCGUGCCAGCCGCCGCCGUAA